rnacentral:rRNA from 1 species
GGGCGGUUCCCCCUUCGGGGGGACAGGGUGACAGGUGGUGCAUGGUUGUCGUCAGCUCGUGUCGUGAGAUGUUGGGUUAAGUCCCGCAACGAGCGCAACCCUCGACCUUAGUUGCCAGCAUUCAGUUGGGCACUCUAAGGUGACUGCCGGCUAAAAGUCGGAGGAAGGUGGGGAUGACGUCAAAUCAUCAUGCCCCUUAUGACCUGGGCUACACACGUGCUACAGUGGGCGGUACAAAGGGUCGCGAACCCGCGAGGGGGAGCCAAUCCCAAAAAGCCGCUCUCAGUUCGGAUUGCAGGCUGCAACUCGCCUGCAUGAAGCCGGAAUCGCUAGUAAUCGCGGAUCAGCAUGCCGCGGUGAAUACGUUCCCGGGCCUU